CCUACGGGUGGCAGCAGUGGGGAAUAUUGGGCAAUGGGCGCAAGCCUGACCCAGCAACGCCGCGUGAAGGAAGAAGGCCCUCGGGUUGUAAACUUCUUUUAACAGAGACGAAGAAAGUGACGUUACCUGUUGAAUAAGCCACGGCUAACUUCGUGCCAGCAGCCGCGGUACUACGUAGGGGGCAAGCGUUAUCCGGAUGUACUGGGUGUAAAGGUCGUGUAGGCGGGAGAGCAAGUCAGAAGUGAAAUUCCAGGGCUCAACCCUGGAACUGCGUUUGAAACUGUUCUUCUUGAGUGAUGGAGAGGCAGGCGGAAGUCCGGGUGUAGCGGUGAAAUGCGUAGAGAUACGGAGGAACACCAGUGGCGAAGGCGGCCUGCUGGACAUUAACUGACGCUGAGGCGCGAAAGCGUGGGGAGCAAACAGGAUUAGAUACCCUAGUAGUC
rnacentral:rRNA from 1 species